rnacentral:rRNA from 1 species
AGUCCACAUCGACGGGGAGGUUUGGCACCUCGAUGUCGGCUCAUCACAUCCUGGGGCUGUAGUAGGUCCCAAGGGUUGGGCUGUUCGCCCAUUAAAGUGGUACGCGAGCUGGGUUCAGAACGUCGUGAGACAGUUCGGUCCCUAUCCGUCGCAGGCGUAGGAAAUUUGAGAAGACCUGUCCUUAGUACGAGAGGACCGGGAUGGACGUACCUCUGGUGUACCAGUUGUCCUGCCAAGGGCAUGGCUGGGUAGCUAUGUACGGAAUGGAUAAGCGCUGAAAGCAUCUAAGCGCGAAGCCAACUUCAAGAUAAGAUUUCCCACCGCAAGGGUAAGACUCCAGAAAGACUAUCUGGUUGAUAGGUCGAAGGUGUAAGUGCAGCAAUGUAUUUAGCUUAUCGAUACUAAUAGGUCGAGGACUUGACCAAU